rnacentral:rRNA from 1 species
GAUCUCAACUCCCGUGAAGGA